rnacentral:rRNA from 1 species
AAAGGUAGCAUAAUCAUUUGACUUUUAAAUGGAGCCUAGAAUGAAAGAAAGAACGUAGACAACUUGUCUUAUAAAUAAUACUUUUAAUUUGUUAUAUGAGUGAAAAUACUCAUUAAUUUAAAAUUAGACGAGAAGACCCUUAGAAUUUUAAAAAAAUAUAAGUAAAUCUUAUAAGGUUUUUUGUUGGGGCAACAAUAUUUCAAGAAAUAAAUAUUGCAUUGAAGGAUAAGUCGAUUUAAUAAUUAUAGGAAAAUUACCUAAGGGAUAACAGCAUAAUAUUAACAAUAAGCUUGUGACCUCGAUGUUGGACUAGGUACUAUUAAGGCUAAUCGUUUUAAUAUAAUAUGUUCUGUUCGAACUUUAUUACCUACAUGAUC